rfam:Candidatus Collierbacteria bacterium RIFCSPHIGHO2_01_FTLL_50_25 rifcsphigho2_01_scaffold_754, whole genome shotgun sequence.
GGGCCCGUGGCGCAGUUGGUAGCGCGUUUCAUUGACAUUGAAAAGGUCAUUGGUUCGAGUCCAAUCGGGCCCA